AUACGGAGGAUCCGAGCGUUAUCCGGAUUUAUUGGGUUUAAAGGGAGCGUAGGCGGACGCUUAAGUCAGUUGUGAAAGUUUGCGGCUCAACCGUAAAAUUGCAGUUGAUACUGGGUGCCUUGAGUACAGUAGAGGCAGGCGGAAUUCGUGGUGUAGCGGUGAAAUGCUUAGAUAUCACGAAGAACUCCGAUUGCGAAGGCAGCUUGCUGGACUGUAACUGACGCUGAUGCUCGAAAGUGUGGGUAUCAAACAGGAUUAGAUACCCUGGUAGUCCACACAGUAAACGAUGAAUACCCGCUGUUUGCGAUAUACAGUAAGCGGCCAAGCGAAAGCGUUAAGUAUUCCACCUGGGGAGUACGCCGGCAACGGUGAAACUCAAAUGAAUUGACGGGG
rnacentral:rRNA from 1 species